GACGAACGCUGGCGGCGUGCUUAACACAUGCAAGUCAAACGGAAAGGCCCUGCUUUUGUGGGGUGCUCGAGUGGCGAACGGGUGAGUAACACGUGAGUAACCUGCCCUUGACUUUGGGAUAACUUCAGGAAACUGGGGCUAAUACCGGAUAGGAGCUCCUGCUGCAUGGUGGGGGUUGGAAAGUUUCGGCGGUUGGGGAUGGACUCGCGGCUUAUCAGCUUGUUGGUGGGGUAGUGGCUUACCAAGGCUUUGACGGGUAGCCGGCCUGAGAGGGUGACCGGCCACAUUGGGACUGAGAUACGGCCCAGACUCCUACGGGAGGCAGCAGUGGGGAAUAUUGCACAAUGGGCGGAAGCCUGAUGCAGCAACGCCGCGUGCGGGAUGACGGCCUUCGGGUUGUAAACCGCUUUCGCCUGUGAUGAAGCGUGAGUGACGGUAAUGGGUAAAGAAGCACCGGCUAACUACGUG
rnacentral:rRNA from 1 species